CAGUCGCCACGGGAAUACGAACCGUGCGAACGUUAUUCGGAAUCACUGGGCUUAAAGCGCGUGUAGGCGGGAGGGCACGUCCGUCGCUGAAAUCCCCCGGCUCAACCGGGGAACGGGCGCGGAUACGACUCUUCUGGAGGAACGUAGGGGGACCUGGAACUUCCGGUGGAGCGGUGAAAUGCGUUGAGAUCGGAAGGAACGCCCGUGGCGAAAGCGAGGUCCUGGACGUUUACUGACGCUGAGACGCGAAAGCCAGGGGAGCGAACGGGAUUAGAUACCCCGGUAGUCCCUGUCUCUUAUA
rnacentral:rRNA from 1 species